rnacentral:rRNA from 1 species
CUGGAGUCUGCAACCCGACUCCACGAAGCUGGAUUCGCUAGUAAUCGCGCAUCAGCCACGGCGCGGUGAAUACGUUCCCGGGCCUUGUACACACCGCCCGUCAAGCCAUGGGAGCCGGGGGUACCUGAAGUGCGUAACCGCGAGGAUCGCCCUAGGGUAAAACUGGUGACUGGGGCUAAGUCGUAACAAGGUACC